rnacentral:rRNA from 1 species
GACAGAGGGUGCAAGCGUUGUUCGGAAUCAUUGGGCGUAAAGCGCACGUAGGCGGUUUUGUAAGUCGGAUGUGAAAGCCCAGGGCUUAACCCUGGAAGUGCAUCCGAUACUGCAUGACUUGAGUCCCGGAGAGGGUGGUGGAAUUCCUGGUGUAGAGGUGAAAUUCGUAGAUAUCAGGAGGAACACCGGUGGCGAAGGCGACCACCUGGACGGAGACUGACGCUGAGGUGCGAAAGCGUGGGGAGCAAACAGG